rnacentral:rRNA from 1 species
AGGACGAACGCUGGCGGCGUGCUUAACACAUGCAAGUGGAGCGACGAACCAGGGCUUGCCCUGGGGCAGAGCCGCGAACGGGUGAGUAACACGUGGGUUACCUGCCUCGAUGACCGGGACAACCCGAGGAAACUCGGGCUAAUACCGGACGUGCCCGCAAGGGGAAAGGAAGCUUCGGCCUCCGCAUCGAGAUGGGCCCGCGGCCCAUUAGCUUGUUGGUGAGGUAACGGCUCACCAAGGCUUCGAUGGGUAGCUGGUCUGAGAGGACGAUCAGCCACACUGGGACUGAGACACGGCCCAGACUCCUACGGGAGGCAGCAGUGGGGAAUCUUGCGCAAUGCGCGAAAGCGUGACGCAGCAACGCCGCGUGGGGGAAGAAGGCUUUCGGGUUGUAAACCACUGUCGAAGGGGACUAGUACUGAAGGUACCCUUGGAGGAAGCCCGGCUAACUACGUGCCAGCAGCCGC